AGAGGAUGACCAACACAAACUGAGCAGCAGCAGAUGAGCUACUGUCCCUGACUUUGACAGUGGAGGAGCCGGUCACUGAAGGAGCUGCCCAGUGCUGCAGCUGCCUCCUGUAGUGGGUGAGAGGGGUUGUCCAUUAUGAAUGCAAGCUUGGCCAACAUCCUCCUCUCCGCCACGUCCCCCGCUGGGUCCAGCGCACAGCCCAGGACAGAACCAGCCUUCCUGAUAAGCUUCACAUGUUGAUUUUGAACAUUUAGGGUAUUUUCCAAUAGAAAGUUCCCUAUAAAUUAUGAGUUUGCAUAUAUUUAGCUUUGUACUAUCUCUAUUAAUUCCUUGAGUAUAAAUAGAUCAUAACAUGAUCCAGAUGGUCCAUAUCCAGAAGUCCACUGUCAGGACCUAAAAGACUCCAGAGUUGCAGAAACACUCUAACAUGCUCUUGUUAUCGCCGAUGAUAACUGCGACUUCUAUUAAACUGUAAGACUUUUUGACUUUUUCUCCACAGCCAUAAUUUAAUAAAGGCCUUUUCAUUUUCAAA